UACAGAGGUGGCAAGCGUUGUUCGGAAUUACUGGGCGUAAAGGGCGCGUAGGCGGUUCGUUAAGUCCUGUGUGAAAUCCCCCGGCUCAACUGGGGAACUGCACAGGAAACUAGCGGGCUUGAGUUCGGGAGAAGGAAGCGGAAUUCCAGGUGUAGCGGUGAAAUGCGUAGAUAUCUGGAGGAACACCGGUGGCGAAGGCGGCAUCCUGGACCGGCAUUGACGCUGAGGCGCGAAAGCCAGGGGAGCAAACGGG
rnacentral:rRNA from 1 species